UUCGCACAUUAAUAAAAAAUCCAAAAACAUUUUCUCUUUUCUUUUAUUCCUUUUCUUCUUUCCCCUAUUAAUAACCUGACAAGCCUAACAUUUCUAAGCUAACACUAACGCACACAACUAACCUAAUGGUUCCUAUUGAGUACAACGGACGUGAGGGGUGUUAAUACCUUCCCCUUGCGUGAUCGACUUUCGAACCCUGAUUUUGUUGUGACGAC
rnacentral:lncRNA from 1 species